rnacentral:rRNA from 1 species
GACAGAGGUGCCGAGCGUUAGGCGGAAUCACUGGGCUUAAAGCGUGUGUAGGCGGGUCGUUAGGUGUCUUGUGAAAUCCCCCGGCUCAACCGGGGAAUGGCUGGGCAUACUGGCGAUCUUGAGCAGUCUAGGGGCAGAUGGAACAAGUGGUGGAGCGGUGAAAUGCGUAGAUAUCACUUGGAACGCCAACGGUGAAGACAGUCUGCUGGGGACUUGCUGACGUGAGACACGAAAGCCAGGGGAGCGAACGGG